AGGACGAACGCUGGCGGCGUGCUUAACACAUGCAAGUCGAGCGAGGCUCUCUCCUUCGGGAGGGAUGCCCUAGCGGCGAACGGGUGAGUAACACGUGGGCAACCUGCCCCUAGCACUGGGAUAACUCCGGGAAACCGGGCUAAUACCGGAUACGACCUCUGAGGGCAUCCUCCGGAGGUGGAAAGCAUUGUGGCUAGGGAUGGGCCCGCGGCCUAUCAGCUUGUUGGUGGAGUACGGCCCACCAAGGCGACGACGGGUAGCCGGCCUGAGAGGGCGACCGGCCACACUGGGACUGAGACACGGCCCAGACUCCUACGGGAGGCAGCAGUGGGGAAUAUUGCACAAUGGGCGAAAGCCUGAUGCAGCGACGCCGCGUGAGGGAUGACUGCCUUCGGGUUGUAAACCUCUUUCAGCAGGGACGAAGCGAAAGUGACGGUACCUGCAGAAGAAGCACCGGCCAACUACGCGCCAGCAGCCGCGGU
rnacentral:rRNA from 1 species